AGCAGCCGCGGUAAUUCCAGCUCCAAUAGCGUAUAUUAAAGUUGUUGCAGUUAAAAAGCUCGUAGUUGAAUUUCGGGGUCAGCAGGUCGGUCGUGCCAAUGGUAUGCACCGGCCUUGCUGAUUCCUCCCUCUUGAUGAGCCGUAAUGCCAUUAAUUUGGUGUUGCGGGGAAUCAGGACUGUUACUUUGAAAAAAUUAGAGUGUUUAAAGCAGGCAAGCGCUUGAAUACAUUAGCAUGGAAUAAUGAAAUAGGACGUUUGAUCCUAUUUUGUUGGUUUCUAGGAUUGACGUAAUGAUUAAUAGGGAUAGUUGGGGGCAUUAGUAUUCAAUUGUCAGAGGUGAAAUUCUUGGAUUUAUUGAAGACUAACUACUGCGAAAGCAUUUGCCAAGGAUGUUUUCAUUAAUCAAGAACGAAAGUUAGGGGAUCGAAGACGAUCAGAUACCGUCGUAG
rnacentral:rRNA from 1 species